AGUAGGUGGCGAACAUCCUGACGCCACUGAAUGGAUGCAAGUCAUAAGUGAACCAUACAGAAGCUUACAAAGGAUGCGCCAGCAAUGCACCAAGUCUGUGGCCCAAACUCAACACUGGAAGAAGCAACCUCAUCUCCUAACAAGCUCAACCGCAGAAAGACUGACUAGCUCUGGAACUGAAUCUGGAUUAGCAAAUCUGAAAAUUAGAGCCACUGGGAACCUCUUGAACAUUUCCAAGCAGGUGCAACAAACCAUUAAAAAAAACCCCCCAAAAACACCCCUGCUUACCUUUGUUUGCUCUCCAUUUUACAUACAGACUGGGCCCAAGGGGAAGCUUUCACUGAAUCAUUUCUUCCUGCCUUUUAGCUCUCACCUUCCAACACAAUUUACUGAAUUUAUGCAUGCCAAGCCAAAUUCCAGAGUGCUAUAAUUGAACACUGCUAGUGAUGUCUGGGGAGGCAAAUGAAAGGAAUCUCAAGUAUAGCUUCUUUGUUCCUAUUUCACUCUGGAGUUAAUUCCAGGUUUAUCCUCUGCAUGAAACAGCUUUUCUGCUUGAAUUCUUCAUUUCCUCUAACCUUUGAAAUAUUACUUCUUGUUUUGAAAUCUUUAACUUCCUAGUAUCAACUGUAUUAAUCCCUCUCCAACUUUGAGAAUCCUCUCUGAGCUCGCCAUAAGGCUUUUUUCUUGAGCCAAGAAUUGAUUCCACUAACAGAUUAACUUAGGUUCUUCAGGCAUGCUUCCUACGGUCUGGCUGCACCCAACACUGCUUCCAGAUAGAUUAAUACUGUUUAUGUGGAACAGGACUCGGUACUGAAUAGGCCUUGCACAUCGUACUUUUCACUUCAUUCUUUGAUGCAAUAGUUUCAGUUGCUUGUUAAAAAUUAGAGUCUUUCCUUAUGUCCUCCGAUAGCACCACAAUCUGCUAUCUACUGUGGAAAAACAGACUAGAUGCUCCUGAUGUCUCAAAAAUAGACAAAAUAUGCAUAUAAUGUGGUUAAAGAUACUCGGACAUGCUCUGUGGAAAAAAAGAAGGCCUGUGUGUGAAUGGAAUCUAACCAUGUUACUGACUUAUAAGGAGCAUAACAGGACAGACAACAUGAAUUAUGAAAAUCCAUCGAGUAGCUGGAGACCAGAGGCCCCACGUUGAGUUGGCCUCCCCACUACACUGCACCCUCCCUUCUGCUGUGCUGUGCGAGCACCCCUGAAUUACCCCACCCAGCCCCCAAGGGCAGGAGCAGGAAACUGGAGAAGGGAAAGGGGAGGCUGGAGACCCCAGAAGCAGCAGCAGCAAGAGAGUGAUGGGGGGGAGGGGGGGAAGCAGAGGAGCCCCUGGACACCCCUUGCAGGCUGCCACCUGGAUAGCUCUGGUCUAGCAGGCAGGGCAGGGAGAACGCAUGGUAAUCCCAACUGUGUCACUGGCCUGGUGGGCA
rnacentral:lncRNA from 1 species